rnacentral:rRNA from 1 species
GACGAACGCUGGCGGCGUGCUUAACACAUGCAAGUCGAGCGGUAAGGCCCUUUCGGGGGUACACGAGCGGCGAACGGGUGAGUAACACGUGGGUGACCUGCCCUCAGCUCUGGGAUAAGCCUGGGAAACCGGGUCUAAUACUGGAUAUGACUCCAUGACGCAUGUUGUGGGGUGGAAAGCCUUGUGCGGCUGAGGAUGGGCCCGCGGCCUAUCAGCUUGUUGGUGGGGUGAUGGCCUACCAAGGCGACGACGGGUAGCCGGCCUGAGAGGGCGACCGGCCACACUGGGACUGAGACACGGCCCAGACUCCUACGGGAGGCAGCAGUGGGGAAUCUUGCGCAAUGGGCGAAGGCCUGACGCAGCGACGCCGCGUGAGGGAUGAC